CGAGACCGAUAGCGAACAAGUACCGUGAGGGAAAGUUGAAAAGCACUUUGAAGAGAGAGUUCAAGAGUACGUGAAACCGUUUAGGGGUAAACCUGAGAAGCCCGAAAGGUCGAAGGGAGAAAUUCAUUCGCGUUUCGUCGCCGACGUUGGGCGGUCGUGUGACGGGGUACGUUCGCGUUUCCCGCACCUUCCGUCUCUCGAAUCGGAGACGUACGCGUGCACUUUUCUCCUGGUAGGACGUCGCGAUCCGUUGGGUGUCGGUCUACGGCUCGCGGUGGAGCCCGUCCGUCGACUCACGUCGUACGGACGGACCCGCGUGUCCCGGCUGACUCGCCUGACGGUAUACGAAAGGUUUAAGGCCGCUCUUGGAGCGUUCGGCUCGCGGCAAGCGCGCCAGAUGCGUCGGCGAUCGGACCUAGUGCCGAUUCUGACCUCUGGUGACUGUUGGCCGUGAAGUUCUCGAACAGACCUUAGGACCGAUCUGCGACGCUAUAGCUUUGGGUACUUUCAGGACCCGUCUUGAAACACGGACCAAGGAGUCUAGCAUGUGCGCGAGUCAUUGGG
rnacentral:rRNA from 1 species